rnacentral:pre_miRNA from 1 species
CCCACACCUAUGUGUGUAGGACCCCAAAGGAUCACCAUUAAAUUUGACACAGAUCUCUAGAAAAGUCAAGUCCCACACCCAUGUGAUAACUUUUCUAGAGAUUUGUGCCAAAUAUAAUGGUGAUCUUUUGGGGUCCUACAUACAUGGGUGUGGG